GAGGCGGGGUAGGAAUGCGGCUUUCCUAUUGGCUAGCUGGGCAACGUAGAACGGACCAAUCAGAUCCCACGGUGCUGUGGGCGGGGACUGGAAGAUUUGACCCUCCAAUGUUCUUUCAAGAGGAAGAGCUGCCCAGAACUCCUGUCCCUGUUUAUUUUCCUUUCCUCCCUGCAGUGGCCUUGAUAUACCUAAGAAGACUCAAUUUUUUUCCCUCAUCCUAAAAUAUGGAAUUUUCCUGCUGUUUGGUUUUAAAUAUUCUCCUGUGAGAACUGCAACUCGAUUACUGUAGUGUUGUGUUUAAGAGCCUUCUGGAAAGUAACUAUCCUUUAAACAGAAGUGGAAGCAGUGUUGCCAACUGUCAUGAUUUUGUCAUGAGUCUCAUGAUAAUUAUUGUUUUCCUUAAAGCCACAGCUCCUGCAGUCAAGUGGAUAUGUGAUUAUUUCAGCCUUCAUUCUUAAAGAAAAAGUACGUUUCUAGCCCUCAGUGUUCUGGAGAAAGCUUCAAAAUGUGACCCAGUACACCCUAAAGGCUCAAAAAGCAAAAGGCAAAUAAAAAGAACACCAAAUCUA